UCUGUAUUUUGGUUAGAGUGGAGAACUAAUAAUUCAGCUGUCUCUUAAAGCGGUGUUGAGCUGGUGCUAGAUUGCAGCUUUUGCUAGAUGGAAAUCAACUCUGAUUAACCAUAUUCCCAAUUUCCUUCACAGACUUUUUGACCUUGUCACUAUUUGAGCUGGAGAAGAUCAGUCUAUAGUAUUACCUUUGAAUCAAAAUCUGAAGGAUCCCUGGAAUUUGAGCAUUAUGAGAAUAUUUUUCAGGGUGUAGUUCUAAGAGAAAGAGGACAUCAUCCUUUCUCACUUGAUGCCCACAGUUUUUCUCUCCUGGCAGCAGCCAUAGCUCCAGGUGGAAAAGGCAACCUACUCAUUGAGGAAGUUCUAACCUCUGCAGUCCGGGCUCCCUGGAAGAGCCAUCAUUUCUUCAUUCGACCCACCCUUCACAGCCCCUGCAGACUCAGUGAACUACCUCAUUUAACAUCUGCCUCCCUGCUCAAUAGUUCCCUGUAACCAGUGCCCAUCAAGCAAAACCACUGCCCACUUCAAACAGAAAUGCCACUUCUUUGGUUCUACUUCUGGGGUUUCAAACUUGGAGCUAAGUUGAAAAUCUGUGUCUUUGACAGGCAUCCCGGGAGGGAGUCUAAUGAUCAGCUAAUUGUGAGAAUCAAAACUACUCAUUUGGCAUUUGGCAUAUCCAGUUUCAGCUGUUAUUGAGACUUCCUUAUCUGGGAUCACCCUUGCCUUAACUGAAUUACAUUUUUAAAAUAUAAAAACUAUGGAAAGUUUUUUUUUUAAGACUUUAUUUAUUUAUUCAUGAGAGACACACAGAGAGAGGGGCAGAGACAUAGGCAGAGGGAGAAGCAGGCUUCCUGUAGGGAGCUUGAUGCAGGACUGGAUCCCAUGAUCCCAGGAUCAUGACCUGAGCCAAAGGCGGAUGCUCAACCACUGAGCCACCCAGGUGCCCCAUAUGGAAAGUUGUUUUAAUGCUCUUUUUCAUCUCUG
rnacentral:lncRNA from 1 species